CUUCGGCUUUGUUUCCGUUUCCUGCCUGUGUUGGAGUUGGGGAGGGGCCCCGGGUGGGUGCAGGAACCCCUCUCUUGGCCCUGCCCUGCUUCUCCUUGGCCAGUCCUCUGGGCAGUGCCUGGGAACCCUCCUGGACCCCUCUGCCACCCCAGGCUGCUCACCCCUUCUCAACAAGGACCGUGACAACAUCUGGCAGACAGCGUAGUUCUCAAGUAGACCGGGAGGAGCCUGGAUGUGGGGUGAGGACCCUGACCAGGAGAUGGAGGAUAGACGGAGGUAGAGGAUGUCUCCCGGAGCAGAUUCCUGUCCUUGGGCUGAGUGUCAGUGCUGGGUAAGUCCCUCCCCACUGCCCAGCCUGGGAGGUCUCCAGGGCAGCCCCUGCUCACCGCCCAGCUCUGCUUGGGCGAGCCUGGUAGUUCCCCAGGCAGCUGGGGUGGAGGCCUGACACAUCCCCAGGGGCUGCUCUUUAUUCAGGCUUAAGGAAAUGUUUCCAGGCCUCUCCCCUCCUGAGCCAACCAGCUGAGCAUUAAGAACUGUACCCCACAGUCCAGUCACCGUGGCCCCACCCAUCCCUGUAGUGGGCGCAUGCAGAGCUAAGCAGGGUUCGGGCUGGGGGCCACCACUCUGGCAGGGCCCCUCUCUGCCCCGGCGUCCCGCCUCACCUGGCUGACAGCGUGGUGCCGUGGGGUUGGUUCCAGAUGGUGGAGCGCUCACCCCACUGCUUGGGUCCAGGUCCUGGGCCUUGGCUUCCUGCUCCGUAAGGUGGACGUCCUCCACAUCCCGUCCCCCGGCUUGGCAGAUUAGCUACCAUCCUUAGGGGCCAGCUCAGGAAACGGUUGUAGGGCCCAGAUGGCCAGCAGGAAGACUGCUCUCCUUGGCCGGUGUGGGCAGUGCCCUGGGGAAGGGGCUUCGGGUGCCCCAGAAGGCGUUGGGUGAGGGAGGGCCCCUGGUGCCUGGCCUGACUCUCGCUCGUCGGGCACCCUGGCCACAGUGCAGGAGUGGGUGCUGAGGGGGAGCCGGGAGAAGACUUGGACAAUGGGUGUCUGCAUUGGGCCGCUUUUAAAAGUUGAAUCGUAGAGAGUGAAAACGCUCCCACCUGGGAGCAGGCCUCAGAGGCGGCCAGGCUGGCUUCUCCGGGAAGGAGCCCGCUUACCCCGCACGCUCACAGGCGCGUCUCUCUCCUCCACGAGCCGGGACUUCGGGGCCCCAGGCGGCGUGCACUCAGUAUGCCUGACAACCGCUUGCUUUGGGGUUCCAUGGCCUGGCGGGGACAGGAGUAGGAGCACGAGCAGAAGCCCGGGCCAAGCCUGGGAGACAGUGCAGACACCCUGCCUGGCAGCGUGGAAAUCCUCCCUGUUGGGGUUGGACCUGGCACUUCCUGGCAGAGGCUGCUGGUUCUCAGGCUGCUGGGCAUUUCAGGAAGAGCAGAGGCUCCACUCCCUGUGACCUGGGGCAGGCAUCUGGCACGCGUGGGCCCCGCUCACUCUCAUCUGUGAAGUGGGUACGACCACAGGCCUGUCCUUGGAGGCCAGCCAGGGAGAGCGCAGCGUCCCAUGCCUGGGCCUGGCCACUCCUCCAGCCUGAUGCCUUCAGUGGCCGCCUUCCAGAGGUAGGGCAGCCAGACUAGGCUGGGAACAGGGCUGAUCAGAAGCCUCGCUAACUGGCAUUUAAUUCUCGCUUCCAGACAGCACAUGACUGUCACUUAGCGGUUCUGUCGCCUUCCUUCCGGGACAGGGGAUGUGUGACCCUGGCAGGCUCUGGGUGGGGGUGGGGAUUUCCUGUGCCGGUUUUGGGGGGAGGGGGGCGAGUGGACGGACUGAGUGGCAGAGCUUUGGGGGAAACGGCUGUUGGGCUGGGACAAGAAGAGGAAGUCUGUGGUCUGUCCCUGAAACGAAAUAGCCCCCCCCCCGCCCCCCAUGAGGAUGUCCAGGCACCAAGAGGCCUGGGACCCUGGCGGGUGCCACUGCAAGACUAACACGCCCCCCCCCCCCCCCCCCCCCCGCCACCAGCUCAGGUCUGCCUCCAGAACUAGAGCUCAUCCCCAAUCCCUAGCUCAUACUGCUGUGAAGUCUGGACAGGGAGAUGGACCCAAAAAGCCACCCCUCCCAAAUCAUCUGCCCCAUGGCUUCAUUUCAGCGCCUGAAACCCCACGAGGGCAAGAACCCAGAUCAAAUCAAUACGGCAAAGUCCAGGCACCCGUGGGAGGAGCUGAUGAUCACCUUUGCACUGGCCCAUGUUUCAGGGUGGGGAUGGGGGAGAGGCACAGGGGUUCUCCCUCUGGUCCUGGCACCCCAGGACCCAGGCCAGGGCACGCAGCCAGGGCUGGGUGGUUUUCAGCCCUGGAGCUGCCCCGUGGCCAGCACGCCUUGUCCUUGACCUAGAACCAGGCUCGUCUGGAAUUGGCCCUCGGGACCCUUCUCCCGAGUUGUUUUCCAUCUAUCCUGUGGAAUGUGGUUUGACCCAGCAUGCUUCCAGACCUCUAGACUUCUCAGUGCCCCCCUGCCCCCAAAGCACACAUAGUUUCUACCCUGGGGCCUGGCCUAAGCCCCUCCUGAUGGCAGGGCAGGUGCUAAUUCACACAAGACCACUGGGGGCUUCCAGGUGGACCCCCGGGUGCUAGGGGUUAGGGUUAGGGCAGGCAGGGGGCCAUGGCCAGUGUGCUGGCUGAGGAUUUCCCUUGCUAAGCUAGCUGCCGGGGACGGGGCGCCCACCCUCCCUGGGCAUGAGCUGAGGGCUGGCCAGAGUGAGGGGCUUAGGACAUGGGGUUGGGCCCAUAAGUUCCUCCAGUCGGUGGUGAGGGUGCUCCCGGCAGGGGGGGGCGCUGGGAGCCACAGAGGCCGGGGGACCCAGGGGCCGGCAGCACAGCCAAGGCCUGGGGGUUCAUGCCCCCUUGUCCUUGUCCUCUAACUUGGGAAAGUUACUGCUGCCCCGCCUGUCUACAGUGACUGGGUACCAUGGUCAUUGUCAAGAAGGUGAAAGACAGGAAGCCAGGGCCGCCCGCCCUGCAGAGUCGGUGGCUGGGUGACCCACGCCUGGAUUGGCCGGGUUGGCCUGGGUCAUAACUCGCCCUGGGAGGACGUCGAACAGCUCCCUGUAACCUGUCUUACCUGCGCCGUUGUCUUUGGAUGGGUGCUGAGGUUGGUUCUGUCACCACUGACAGCCGGCUCCCGACGCUCAGGCUGACACCCAGGCCUGUGAGGUGCCAGGGUGCGGCUGGGGUGACAGCAGUGAGGACUGCCCACCUCCCUGGGUCUCCAGUCCUGGGGCUGGGAGGCCUGAGCCCAGGAGCUCAAUGCCCUUGGUCUUGGGGGUUGGGGUGGGGGCUUCCAAGAGGCAGUGGGUUUGGGAACCACCAACCGUGGUCCCACCGUGAGCUCGCGGGGAGCUCACCCUCUUGCACGGCUGUGGCUCUGCUUGGCUGAAGGGCCCACACUGCUCCCUAACCCGGGGGCUCGGCCCCCCACCCUUUGGACAGACGGCCUUUCACUUUGUCUUGAGGUGGUAAGACCUCCAGCUCCCACAAGGUAGCACUCCCCUGAGCCAGCCAGGCCCUGGCUGGAGCUGUCCCCUUGGCCUCCAGCUGGGGCAGUAGGAGGCUGAGGUCCCCGAGUGACCACGUGAGGCGGUCCUUCUACUGCUUCAUAGCCUGGUGUGGCUCCAGGGCUGGGGCUCCCCUGGGACAGGGACAAGGCCAUCCUGACCUGCCCUGGGAGCCCUCCACCUGCUCUCUUGUCCUCUGCCUGAGCCCACCCGCCUCCCAUCUCCCUCCCCAGUCGGUGCCCAGCCCACCUGGAUCCUCCUUGUCUGAUGCACGCGGCCUGUUCUGUGCCCUUCUCUGGCAGGUCCCUGGGACGUCUGUGUCCACAGGCCCUCCCUGCAGGGGCCGAGGGGGCCGAGGGGCUCCCCACAGUGGGGUUGGUUUGGGGCAGGGGAACAGGACACUUCCUGGCUUUUCUACCCAGGGAUUGGGUGGUGGGGUUGGGUUUCUCUUGUGCCCCUAGAGUAGCGGGGUGUGGCGGGGGCCUGCACUCACCUCUUAGGGGGAAGUGGCUCCCGCAGCCCCUAGCUGGUGGCCCCAGGGGGGCCUGGGUCAUGACCCCCUUGCUUCCUACUGUUAGAUGCAGGGCCAGGUGGCUUCCUGAGGUCCAGGGGCCUCCAGCGAGGCUCUGCUUCCCGGCCGAGGUGCGGGUCCCUGCUCCUCCCUCCACACCUGCUGUGUUGAGCUGCUCCCAGAGGCCACGACAGGACCGUGGGGGCAGCUGCCCAGCCCCCGGGAAGGCCCGCGUUGGGCCUGUCCCCUCAUGGUGGGUGGAGAGCGAGGGUCAGUCUGCAGGAACCCGAGACCCCUACCCAGCUCGAGGGGUGGAGCCAGGACCUUCCUCUUGCUCCCCUGACCUACCACAGCCCAUCCUAAAAGCAUCUCUACUGUGCCUCUUCCCUCUGACUUAGCCCCGUGUCCCUGAGGGCAUUUCCGGCCUCAUUUCCUGCCUUUAGCCUUCACUACCCUCCUUGGUUGGAGGGGUCUCCAGGCCUCCAGGACCCCCAGCUGCCCAGCCAAGUGGCUGCUUCCUGGCGCAUUUUCCCUGGAGGUGGGGGGUUGGGGAGCAGAGCUGGAGUGGAGUCGGGUGCCCCCAACCCGCUCCCCUGCAGUGGAGCUCCCCCACACCCCCCACACACUGCCCCCUGCCCUCUGGGGCGGCCAGAGCUGCUGGGAGGGUGUGAGUGACGUGAGCAGCCCUGGGGCCCGCGUGGGUGGGGCUGGGGCACUCGGGGUGCGGGGUCCGAGGGCACGGCAGCCCCAGGCCUGCCCGGGCAGCACCCACUCCCUCCUGCUCCCUUUCAGCCGCUUCUUGGAAACGGCAGGCGGGCCGGGCAGGAGCCCAGCAUGCUUGGCAGCCCCCUCCUGCUUCAGCUGACGCCGUUAGUUAUUAAUUCUCAGAAAGGAAGAACGAAACAGAAACAGAAUCUCUCACAGGGUCCCGAACUGGCCACGCUGUGCCCGCUGUGGGGCCUUCCCCUGUGGCCCAGCUGGCUGGCACAUUCCCCGGUGCCACCGGCCGCGGGGCCUCUCGGGGGGGCACGGCCUCUGGGCCAGGAGUGGGUGGGAGCCGUGCUUCUGGCGGGCGAGAGGGUCCUGUGACCCUGCGCGGAGGGCUCCGUGGGGCGGGGGCACCCCCAACACUGGGACGUUAGCUUGGACCACCUGACAUCCUCAUCUUCCAGUGAGAAUGUGGAGGUGACCCCGAGGUGCGGCGGGGCACCCUUGGCUGCCAUGCUCCGGGCCCCACCCUCUACCGUGACCCCUGCUCUCCCUGAACGCCAGGCUCCGUUGUGUAAUGCACGUCUGGGCUUCACAGUUCUCCAGUCCCCUCUUUGACCCUAAAACCUCAGUUCUGUGUACGAGACUUCAGCACGAUGUUUCCAGAUGCUUGCUAUGGGCCCUCGGAAGCCUGGCGAGCCCAGCGCGUGUGGCUCCUCGCUGCGGGCGCCGGCUGGCACCAGGACAGCAGCCUGGAUCCUUUGGGGCCCAGAUGAAACAUUUACCCCUAAAAGCCUUGCUGCGAAGUUCAGCGGUCAGCGACUGAGUGGAGUUGGGGGUUUAAAAACAGCCUUAUCGGGCGUAGAGUACACAACACGUGUUUUAAACGUACAACCUUGACAUAGAGCCCCGUGGGACGGUCACCGCAUCACGAUCGUGGACACGUCCAGCAGCCCCAAAAGCGUCCGGGAGCCUCGUGAUCCCUCCCCCGUCCCUGGGCGGCCCAGGGCCUGUGUUCUGUCACUGCACCUGAUUUGCAUUUCUGACACUUCUGUAGAAAGGGAACUUUUUUCUUUUUGGUCUGGUGGCUGUCAUUCAGCACGGCGCUCAGCCGAGUGGUACAUUUCCCCACGGUGUGCUCGUCCGUCCCAUCUGUGCGCCAGUCCAAGGACAAGUGGGUUGGGCCCGGUUUGGGGCUGGGAACAGCAGGGCCCAUGUUGUGGUGUGGACGGCGCACGUUCGUGUCCCUGGGCGGACUCGGGUGGCAGGCGUGGCCGCGUGGAAGCGCACUGAGUCCUGGUUCCUUACACGUCCCCGCCAGCACGUGAAUGGCGGGGCAGGAGCCCUCCCUUCUCUGCGGAGGGCUUUCCACCCCCCUGGGUCAGGGUGCUGCCUUUGUCCCACCCUGGUUGGCGAUCUGCCCCCUGCCGUGCGGGCUUCCUCAUCUGGGAACGGGAUGGCCCAUACCACCACCGUGUCCACCCGGCCCCACCCCGGGGGUCUGUGCAGGGCCUGGAGUGACCGGAGCCCUGGCAAGCAGGGGCCCUGUAGGCACCGGGCCCUCCCCGGCCCUGGAGGCAGGACGAGCUUCCCUUUACCCUCAGGAGUGAGGGCCUGGGGGCUGCGGGGGAGUCUGAGGCCGCCCCGCCUGCCCCGGAGUCCGAGGCAGCAGAGGUGGUGACCAGGGGGUGGGAUGAGCACUGCCCCCACUGUACUUCUCUUAGGACCGUGCACCCCAAGACACGCUCGUCUCCCCAGCUGCUGGGGUGAAGGGGCUGCGUGAGGAAAAUGGGAGAGGUUGCAGCCGGGCCGCUGCUGAGGACAGGGAGGCCGGUCGGGGCUUGUGGCCAGGGCGCUGGCGCUACAGAGGGCUCCAGGGGGAGGCCCGGGACAGGGGCUUCCCUGCCCCUCCCCCUCCGCCCCGGGACAUCUCACAAAGGCGGCUCUGGACCACAGUUUCAAAAGAACAAGUGACGGUUUCAAGCCAGAGUUUCCACGGCAACCCUCAGCCUCGACACCGCCUCCCUCUGAGCCGCAGAUGGCAGCCACCUCGGGGCCUCUGGGGCGCCCGCCCUGCCCCCGCCGUCCCGUGGGGCCCCUGGCCUUCUCCCGCUGCUGACAGGUGCCACCAAGAGGCACAGGAGGCUGAGAGCCCGGGGCCCUGCCCUCUGAGGGCUACGCGGUGGCCGAGGGCCCUGGGAGGGGACCCUGGCCGGGGCUGGCGCACAGCAGGCCCUUGGUGGUCCUCCCCACACUUGCUGGAGGUCAGGGCAGAGCCUCCGAGCCUUGGCCUGUCCUCCCCAACCAGACCUGGCACCCUGGGAGAGGUGGGCUGAGCAGCGGAAACCCCAGGCUCGUGGAGGGGACAGGCAGGUGCUCCGAGGGGGGUGCGGGCAACCCGGCCUCGGGGGUGUGAGCCCCGCCAGCCGUACUGGUAGGCGGGCGUGCUAGGGCCCGGGGAGCGGCUGGGGCUUUCCGCGGGGCAGCCCUCGGGGCAGGUGCCGGUCUGGCCAGGUGGUGUCCGCGGGGCGUUUCUCCUCUGCGUAGCACGUGGAGCUCUGGGCCUGUGUUGGGGGGCAGGGGGGCGGUGUCUGCUGCUGUGGGGGGAGCUCCAUUGCCAGCACACAGACGGUAGGACGGGGAAGCCAGGAGCUAGCGGCCGAGCAGCGAGGCCCUCCGACCCGUGCCCAGGCUUGCAGCUCUGGGAGCAGAGUCCACCUCGGUGGGGCAUCCGGGGCUGCGACGGCCCGGAGGAUAGGAGGCUGGGGCCCGGAGGGCAGCACAGCCACUGGCUGGGAUGAUGAGAUGCUCCUGUGUAGGCCGGGCCCAGCGUGGUCCGGGCUCCCCUUCAGCACCACCCACCCCCCUCAAUGGCCCUGUGCUCGCAGGACGGUGAGUCUGCGGAGGGCCUCCCUGAGCCGGAAGCCCCGUCCUCCCGCCAGGCUCUGAGCAGAGCCCCCUUUCCUGCCCCAGCUGCUCAGGCAGCCCCUCCCCUGGCCUAUCUGGGAGCACAGCGUGCUUCCUUCCUCCUGCAGCGCAGUGGCUUCCCUUCCCAGGGCUGACAGCAGCGAGGAUUUAUCCCGCAAAUG